UUUCCGUAGGUGAACCUGCGGAAGGAUCAUUCAUAAUAAGUGUUUUAUGGCACUUUUUUAAAUCCAUAUCCACCUUGUGUGCAAUGUCAGGGUUGAUUUUUCUCUCGAGAGGAUCAACCCCAAACAUCAACUAUAUCUCAACUCUUUGUCUGAAAGAUAUUAUGAAUAAAACAAUUCAAAAUACAACUUUCAACAACGGAUCUCUUGGCUCUC
rnacentral:misc_RNA from 1 species